GACGAACGCUGGCGGCGUGCUUAACACAUGCAAGUCGAACGGAAAGGCCCCUUUGGGGGUACUCGAGUGGCGAACGGGUGAGUAACACGUGAGUAACCUGCCCUUGACUUCGGGAUACUUCAGGAAACUGGGGCUAAUACCGGAUAGGAAUCCUUGCUGCAUGGUGGGGGUUGGAAAGCUUCGGCGGUUUUGGAUGGACUCGCGGCUUAUCAGCUUGUUGGUGGGGUAGUGGCUUACCAAGGCUUUGACGGGUAGCCGGCCUGAGAGGGCGACCGGCCACAUUGGGACUGAGAUACGGCCCAGACUCCUACGGGAGGCAGCAGUGGGGAAUAUUGCACAAUGGGCGGAAGCCUGAUGCAGCAACGCCGCGUGCGGGAUGACGGCCUUCGGGUUGUAAACCGCUUUCAGCAGGGGCGAAGCUUGUGGUGACGGUACCUGCAGAAGAAGCACCGGCUAACUACGUG
rnacentral:rRNA from 1 species